rnacentral:lncRNA from 1 species
GCCACCUUGGGAGUUAUCCUUUCGCUAGAGUAACCAUCGUUCUAUAGAAAUGACCUUUUGCAAGAACUCGAGUGGGGAAGCGUGAUAGACCCUAAAACGAAAACCCUGCCCGCAAGUAAGUAAUUCCACGCAAACCGGACAGCCAGUAUUGACUCAUUCUACCAGCUAACCCUCUUCGAAUAACAAAUUCCAGGGAGAUACGAUAUAGAGGAAAGAAGUAUACCCUCGUGCCCAGACCAGAGAUCAAGUAAGCCAAACCCUAUACUACAAUGAGUCUACCUAAUCCCUUGUUUCCAGCUUGGGAAUGAGAGUCAGGAUAUUGGAAUUGUUGGAAGUAAGGGAUAGAAGUGCCAUUAGAUUGGUAUAGAAGUCCGGGUCAACUAAAAAAAGGAUAUUCUCAAGAAAGUGCUACAGUAAAUAAUUCAUCUUACCUCAUACAUUUUAGGAUUUACCCCGGUGCUAGGAGAAGCAAGCCAGCGUUGCAACUAAUCAAGUAAGCUAGUGACUCAUCCAGUCCAAGGGGAAUGAACUAUUCUACAAUGAACUAUUCGAGGAAUGAACUAUUCUAUAAGGAAUGAACUAUUCUAUAAUGAACUUUUCCAUAUGAAAAGAGAUAAUGAAACUUUUCUAUAUGAAAAGAGAUAAUGAACUAUUCUAUAUGAAAAGAAAGGGUUAUGAAAGUAAUACAGUCUAUGGCUCAGUUCAUUGAAAGCUUUAAAUUCCACUAAGACUCAGAGUGGGCACUAAGGAUCUGCUACAAUUUUAAGUAUGGAAUUACCCCGGGAAUGAGAUUCCAUAAAAGAAAAGCCAUGUCGCGGAAGCCUUUUAUAUGAAUGCAUUUCUUCGUCAACGCCGCAAACCAACUAAGAACACCAAGGCCCUUGUUUGGGUCAGGGUAGGGGGGAUUAAGAAACCCACAUCAGAGAAAAAGCGCCCUCCAGAGAUUCUUGCGUUGUGAACCCUUAUUUCUUUGGCGCUUGCCGGUAUCUGACUAGCAUGAGUUUGCUUUUCUCUAUGUUCACUUCCCUUUUUCCUUUUAUUGAGCAUAAUGAAUCGUUGGUAUAUUUCUUUGCCGAAAUGGGUUCCCCUUCUCGUACAAAUGCCGGUGGCGGUUAGCGUUCAUUUUGAUUGGCUGAAACUUCUGCGUCUAGUGGCCUCUAAGCUUUGUAGGCGAUACCUGAUUGUUGGUAUCUCCCCGCAUAAGUUUAAAGGAUGUCUACGUUCAUUAGUGCUUGACCGAGGAUGUCUGUGCGAGUAUUGAGUCUUUAUCGGCUAAAGUCAAGUAAAGUAAACCGUUACUAUACCUUACCUUAUUGCGCUGUGCGCUCUUCGCCUUAUAGCUUAUAGUUAGCAAGCGCAGGGCGGGAUAGAGCUCAUAAAAUAAAGGCUGAGGGCAGAGAAGUAAAGACGAGACAAGGAAGCAAACAAAGGAGAAAAGAUAGAUAAGAAUAGAAAAGGAGAAAAGAGAGAUAAGAAUAUAGAGGCAAUUAAGGCGAAGGGUAGGCCUAACUCAGUAUACAACGCCGGAAGCAGGGCAUUCCACCGAUUCCACUUAGGGAGAAGGGAUUUGCCCUAUAGGUAGUUGAAGAGCUUUUUUCCGUUCGCGUUAGAGUGAUCACUCGGAGCCACUCUGUAAACAAAACAAGCCCAUAGUCAAUAGGUUAAUUACUGUGUUCGGUAUC